rnacentral:tRNA from 1 species
GGAGGAGUGGCCGAGUGGUCUAUGGCAGCGGUUUUGAAAACCGCCGACGGUGCAAGCUGUCCGGGAGUUCGAAUCUCUCCUCCUCCG